GCCCAGGUAGCUCAGUUGGUAGAGCAGCGGACUGAAAAUCCGCGUGUCGGUGGUUCGAUUCCGCCCCUGGGCA
rfam:Rhizobiales bacterium 65-79 SCNpilot_cont_1000_bf_scaffold_326, whole genome shotgun sequence.